rnacentral:rRNA from 1 species
CCUCGCGGACGUUAUUUCUUACAGCUCUGAGCAAAAAUUCAAAAUGAAUCAAAACUUUCAACAACGGAUCUCUUGGUUCUGGCAUCGAUGAAGAACGCAGCGAAAUGCGAUAAGUAAUGUGAAUUGCAGAAUUCAGUGAAUCAUCGAAUCUUUGAACGCACAUUGCGCCC